rnacentral:rRNA from 1 species
AUGGCGCCGAGGAGGAGGCAGAGCGGCAGGAGCAGGUUGGCCAUGGAGAUGGCCGUCCGCGGCGUUCUCUUCUUAACCUCCCGCCUCGCCGCGCUCGCCGGUGACUGCCGUGCCGAGGUCGCGUCCCUCGUCCAGAACCUGCUCCACAACGCCAGCGCAAACACAGGGGGUGGGAUUGUUACCCUCCGGCCCAGGCUCUUCGAGCUGGUGCUUAACGUACUGCUCACCGCCGGCACCGACACAUUGGCGCUGACCACGGAGUGGGCGAUGGCGCUGCUUCUGAAGCACCCAGAGGUGAUUCGGAAGGCGGGGGCUGAGAUAGACGCCAACGUCGGCAUGGGCCGACUGGUUGAGGAGUCGGACAUCACCAACCUACCUUACCUGCAGUACGUUGUCAAGGAGACCCUUCGGUUGAGCCCCGUCGGCCCAAUCAUCCCAGCGCACGAGGCCAUGGAGGACUGCACGGUGGGUGGCUUUCAUGUCCAGUGCGGC